GCCACGAUCAAUAUCCUCUUGUAAAUCAGUAAGCACAGAAGUCCACAUGGAGCAACCAGCUUCAAGAUUAUCAGUUAUACUUGGCCCGCCGAAAUAGUAUGCAACGCAGUCACAAUUGCUGAGACACCCCUGUCUGCACAAAUUUUCACUGUUAGCACUAGCUGCCGGUAAAUCUGGUUUCCCCGCUUUCAUCAACUUAAGAUUCAAGAACGUGUCAGGUUUGGUAUUCGGGUUGCAGAUUUCCAACGUCCUCCUACAACCACUACUAAAAUGCCCAGUAUUCCAGAUAUCAGGAUAAACGGGCUCGAAUCCUGGCAAACAUUCACAACUGCGACCCGCAUUUUUCAGAUUACAGCUACCAAAAUUGCCACAAGGGUGAUGGAUUUUGCAAGCAUCUUGGGGCUCUGACCAAACCGACAACCAUUCAGUUCCACCCGGUUCCUUCAUGUAAAAUUGUAUCUCUCCGGAGGAAUUCAUCAACAACCUAGUAUUUGCAUACGUAGCUAGAGCAUCCGAAUAGUUAGAAGUAAAUGGCUUUCUGAGCCUCUUAUAUAUAUUUGUUUUAUUUGCAUUUGAAGACUUAUAAUUAGCCUGGUCGAGACUAGGGCUAAAAUUUGACAAGAGGAAAGCCACAAGGUAAGGCAGGUCAAUUGAACCUGACUGAUCACUUUCCCAGUGCACAACAGUUGACCCUUCCAUUAUCCUGUACGGCCUAUCAUCUUGUUCUUGCUGAAAUGUGAAGUUCCCAGUUGCGGGAUUGCCAGAAUCCCACCAGGAAACCAACUUUAAACCUUCAUCCAUGUUCAUGCCUGGAAGAAAAGUAUCAGUUGGCUCAGCAAAGCUUUGCCAUAGAAUAUUUCCCGAGCUCCCAUCAAUCAGUACCAAAUUCCCUGAAUCCAUCAGCUUCAGGAUCCUGUUAACAGGACUAGAGCUUUCAAGCGUAGUAUUGAAAUAUGAAGUUCCCAUCUUAUCCAGCAACUUGAGAUUGCCAUCUUCACCUAUGGAAAGAUAUCCAUAUGAAUGUCGUAUCGGUUUAUCUUUGUUGGCAACCCAUACAACUGUUCUUGAGCUCAAGUUGUAAUACCAUAUGCCUAGAUAUCUUCCAGCAUCGUCACCAUCAGCACUGAAGAAGCCCAGUUCAAAGAUUUUCCCAGCAGACGUGAGGCUGCUGCCAUCAUCUGGCAAUAAACUGUUAGAAGUGAUGGUGUCUCUUGCUACACAUGACAGAAACUGACUGGUUCCCUGUGCUACAAGUACAAAGAAAAUCAGAGAGAAGCAAGGAGGUUGCAUAUGGUUUUACAGAUUAAAGACUAUUGACAGUUUAUCUGAAUUACACAGAAGUUGAUCUCUCUGAAUAAGGAAGGAAUUGUUGUUCUGAUGGGAAGAAUCAGAGUCAACCAGAGCAGUGCAUGCGGAAUGUGGACCGUGUUAGCUAGGCUUUUUUUCUUGAUAAACGAGAAGUGGAAAAUUUUUUGUCUUCUGCGUUAUUUUUCUGCUAAGGAAGUUUGCUUAAACUUCUAUAUUGAGAUUGGGACAUAGUUUUUGUUUUA
rnacentral:lncRNA from 1 species